rnacentral:rRNA from 1 species
AGCGAACGCUGGCGGCAUGCUUAACACAUGCAAGUCGCACGAAGGUUUCGGCCUUAGUGGCGGACGGGUAAGUAACGCGUAGGAAUCUAUCCAUGGGUGGGGGAGUAACUCUGGGAAACUGGAGCUAAUACCGCAUGAUACCUGAGGGUCAAAGGCGCAAGUCGCCUGUGGAGGAGCCUGCGUUUGAUUAGCUUGUUGGUGGGGUAAUGGCCUACCAAGGCG